rnacentral:rRNA from 1 species
CCCUUAGAUGUCCGGGGCUGCACGCGCGCUACACUGAAGGAAUCAGCGUGCUAAAACCAUUGUCGAAAGGCAUUGGUAAACCCAUUAAAAUCCUACGUGAUUGGGAUCGGGAAUUGCAAUUAUUUCCCUUGAACGAGGAAUUCCCAGUAAGUGCGGGUCAUAAGCUCGCGUUGAUUACGUCCCUGCCCUUUGUACACACCGCCCGUCGCUGCCCGGGACUGAGCCGUUUCGAGAAAAGCGGGGACUGCUGCUGUCGGGGCUUUCGGGCCUUGGCUUCGGUGGAAACCGCUUUAAUCGCAGUGGCUUGAACCGGGCAAAANUCGUAACA